rnacentral:ncRNA from 1 species
AGGAGCCGUAUACCGAACGGUACGUACGGUUCUGUGGGAGGUCGGCUGACCCACUAAGGGUCAGCCAUCUACCCGAU